UGGGGAAUAUUGGACAAUGGAGGAAACUCUGAUCCAGCAAUUCUGUGUGUGUGAAGAAGGUUUUAGGACUGUAAAACACUUUUAGUAGGGAAGAAAAAAAUGACGGUACCUACAGAAGAAGCAACGGCUAAAUACGUGCCAGCAGCCGCGGUAAUACGUAUGGGGCGAGCGUUGUCCGGAAUUAUUGGGCGUAAAGGGUACGUAGGCGGUUUUUUAAGUCAGGUGUCAAAGCGUGGAGCUUAACUCCAUUAAGCACUUGAAACUGAAAGACUUGAGUGAAGGAGAGGAAAGUGGAAUUCCUAGUGUAGCGGUGAAAUGCGUAGAUAUUAGGAGGAAUACCGGUGGCGAAGGCGACUUUCUGGACUUUUACUGACGCUCAGGUACGAAAGCGUGGGGAGCAAACAGG
rnacentral:rRNA from 1 species